GCUUUUGUACACACCGCCCGUCGCUACUACCGAUUGAAUGAUUUAGUGAGGUCUUCGGACUGGUACGCGGCAUCGACUCUGUCGUUGCCGAUGCUACCGGAAAGAUGACCAAACCUGAUCGUUUAGAGGAAGUAAAAGUCGUAACAAGGUUUCCGUAGGUGAACCUGCGGAAGGAUCAUUA
rnacentral:rRNA from 1 species